UACGUAGGGUGCAAGCGUUGUCCGGAAUUAUUGGGCGUAAAGAGCUCGUAGGCGGUCUGUUGCGUCGGCUGUGAAAACCCGGGGCUCAACCCCGGGCCUGCAGCCGAUACGGGCAGACUAGAGUUCGGCAGGGGAGACCGGAAUUCCUGGUGUAGCGGUGAAAUGCGCAGAUAUCAGGAGGAACACCGGUGGCGAAGGCGGGUCUCUGGGCCGAUACUGACGCUGAGGAGCGAAAGCGUGGGGAGCGAACAGG
rnacentral:rRNA from 1 species